UCGAAAGCGUGGGUAGCAAACAGGAUUAGAUACCCUGGUAGUCCACGCCGUAAACGAUGUCUACUAGUCGUUGGGUCCCUUGAGGACUUAGUGACGCAGCUAACGCAAUAAGUAGACCGCCUGGGGAGUACGGCCGCAAGGUUAAAACUCAAAUGAAUUGACGGGGGCCCGCACAAGCGGUGGAGCAUGUGGUUUAAUUCGAUGCAACGCGAAGAACCUUACCUGGUCUUGACAUAUCUAGAAUCCUGCAGAGAUGCGGGAGUGCCUUCGGGAAUUAGAAUACAGGUGCUGCAUGGCUGUCGUCAGCUCGUGUCGUGAGAUGUUGGGUUAAGUCCCGCAACGAGCGCAACCCUUGUCCUUAGUUACCAGCGGUUUGGCCGGGAACUCUAAGGAUACUGCCAGUGACAAACUGGAGGAAGGCGGGGACGACGUCAAGUCAUCAUGGCCCUUACGACCAGGGCUACACACGUGCUACAAUGGUAGGUACAGAGGGCAGCUACACAGCGAUGUGAUGCGAAUCUCAAAAAGCCUAUCGUAGUCCAGAUUGGAGUCUGCAACUCGACUCCAUGAAGUAGGAAUCGCUAGUAAUCGCGGAUCAGAAUGCCGCGGUGAAUACGUUCCCGGGCCUUGUACACACCGCCCGUCACACCAUGGGAGUUGAUUGCACCAGAAGUGGUUAGCCUAACCUUUUAGGAAGGCGAUCACCACGGUGUGGUUGAUGACUGGGGUGAAGUCGUAACAAGGUAGCCGUAGGGGAACCUGCGGCUGGAUCACCUCCUUAUAGAC
rnacentral:rRNA from 1 species